rnacentral:rRNA from 1 species
GUGGAUUAGAUACCCUGGUAGUCCAUGCCGUAAACGUUGGGCGCUAGGUGUGGGUCCCAUUCCACGGGGUCCGUGCCGCAGCUAACGCAUUAAGCGCCCCGCCUGGGGAGUACGGCCGCAAGGCUAAAACUCAAAGGAAUUGACGGGGGCCCGCACAAGCGGCGGAGCAUGCGGAUUAAUUCGAUGCAACGCGAAGAACCUUACCAAGGCUUGACAUGUACCGGAAACCCUCAGAGAUGGGGGCCCCGCAAGGUCGGUACACAGGUGGUGCACGGCUGUCGUCAACU